UCCUUAGAUGUUCUGGGCCGCACGCGCGCUACACUGAUGCAUUCAACGAGUUUCUUCCUGGUCCGAGAGGAAUGGGUAACCUUUUGAAAGUGCAUCGUGAUAGGGAUAGACUAUUGCAAUUAUUGGUCUUCAACGAGGAAUUCCUAGUAGACGUAGUUCAUCAGACUGCAUCGAUUACGUCCCUGCCCUUUGUACACACCGCCCGUCGCUCCUACCGAUUGAAUGCUCCGAUGAAUAUCAUGGAUUGAGGAUGCAAGCAGGUUCGCCUGUCUUCAUCUUCGAGAAGUGAAGUAAAUCUUAUCAUUUAGAGGAAGGAGAAGUCGUAACA
rnacentral:rRNA from 1 species